rnacentral:rRNA from 1 species
UACGUAGGGCGCAAGCGUUGUCCGGAAUUAUUGGGCGUAAAGAGCUCGUAGGCGGCUUGUCACGUCGGGUGUGAAAGCCCGGGGCUUAACCCCGGGUCUGCAUUCGAUACGGGCUGGCUAGAGUGUGGUAGGGGAGAUCGGAAUUCCUGGUGUAGCGGUGAAAUGCGCAGAUAUCAGGAGGAACACCGGUGGCGAAGGCGGAUCUCUGGGCCACUACUGACGCUGAGGAGCGAAAGCGUGGGGAGCGAACAGG